GACGAACGCUGGCGGCGUGCCUAAUACAUGCAAGUCGAGCGCAGGAAACUGACGGAACUCUUCGGAGGGAAGGCAGUGGAAUGAGCGGCGGACGGGUGAGUAACACGUAAGGAACCUGCCUCAAGGAUUGGGAUAACUCCGAGAAAUCGGAGCUAAUACCGGAUAGUUCAACGGACCGCAUGGUCCGCUGAUGAAAGGCGCUCCGGCGUCAACUUGGGCUGGCCUUGCGGUGCAUUAGCUAGUUGGUGGGGUAACGGCCCACCAAGGCGACGAUGCAUAGCCGACCUGAGAGGGUGAUCUGCCACACUGGGACUGAGACACGGCCCAGACUCCUACGGGAGGCAGCAGUAGGGAAUCUUCCACACUGGACGAAAGUCUGAUGGAGCAACGCCGCGUGAGUGAUGAAGGUUUUCGGAUCGUAAAACUCUGUUGUAAGGGAAGAACACGUACGAGAGGAAAUGCUCGUACCUUGACGGUACCUUACGAGAAAGCCACGGCUAACUACGUGCCAGCCGCCGCAGUAAAAC
rnacentral:rRNA from 1 species